GGGUGGAGAAAAAGCAUGGGCAGGAGGAGAAACAGAAGGAGGUGCUCCAAGCGCUAGGGCAGAGAUUCUCCCGCAGCCGCUGCUGGAGGCAGCGGGGCACGUCACCACACCCCAAGGGAUGCUGCAGCCUGCUCAGAGCCCACACAGGUACAGGGGAGAAGUGGAGGAGGAAGGAGCGGCCGAGCAGAGCUGUGGGGGGACUGACCGCUACCGCCCCUCACCCCUGCACCUCUCACGCUGCGGGGACGUCGAGGACUCGUGCGUGAAGGAGGGUAUUUGGGCUCGGGGAAGAGGGGAGGGGGGUCAGGUGCUUUUGUUUCUCACCAUCCAAGUCUGUCCAAAAUGUGCAAUGACUCCAAGCAACUUCCCCCACGUCUAUUCUGCUUUGCCUCUGGUGAGCGAGCUCCCUGUCCGUGUCUUGACCCAUGAGAAUGCCCAUCGCCUUCCCUACUCUGUCCCGUUGAGGACACUGAGUGACCGAGUAGCUGGCUGUGCAUCGGGCUGCUGGCUGAGGUCAGCCCGCCACUGCAACUUCUACAGUACAUACAGACACAGAAUUAUUAAAAAGGAUUUGAUAAAGUUCCUUCCUGCUGUUGUUGCGGAGCAGCGCCCACACUGAGCCCAGGACUUUUCUGCUUCUUACGGCGCCCUGCCAGCAAGGAGGUUGGCAGUGCACGAGAAGAUGGCACGCGACACAGACCGCACACCAUCAGGCUGCUGGCCAAGGUCAGCGCGACACGGCAGUCUAUGUAUAGAAAUUACACAUACAUUCAAAUGCAGGGAGACCUUCAUACAGGUAAGUAAAGCUUUUUUUCGCCUUCAUAUUCAGCCACGCUGCACACCGUGCUAGAUAAGAGCUGGUUACGUGCAGUGAGCCCUGGGAUCCUAGAAGCGGCUGAAUAGUUGCCUGUCAAAGGGAAGCGGCAAACGUUUCCCUUGGCUUGCGGGCACGCCUUUUCAUUUACCUAGCAAACCGUCUUUACCUAAACCCGCGUGUGCUCCCACUUCCAUCCUUCCGAUUCUUUCCCCAUCACAGCUGGGGAGGCUGCGUGGUGCUCCGCUUUCUGCCAGGUUAAGCAGCGACAACUACACAUAACAGGCACACAGGCAUCCAGACCGAGCAGUUAAACCUAUGCCUGUACUCCUCAAAGCGUAGCUGUGAAACGGGCAGGGCGUUCCUUCGUGCCGGCUAACAAAAUAAAGAAUUCAAGUUUCA